GCAGUGCCACGGUCUGCCGCCGGUGCCAACCUCCUCUUUUCGGAGAGGGUAGGGCACGGGAGGAAAGUCCGGGCAGCACAGGACGCUCCACUGGUGAAAAUGCCAGCAGUUGGCGACAGCUGGAUAUGGAAGAAGAGAACGACCGCUAAGUCUUCUGGCCAUCCUGAGAGGGAGGGUGCGGUAGUCUUAGUAAGGGUGAGAAGGUGGUGUAAGAGACCACCAGCCGGCGGGUGAUCGCCGGGCUGUUCCAUCUGGGGGCUGCAAGUUCGCGUAUACCAUCGUCUGAGGGCUGUCCGCCCGAUGCGUGAGCAGCGAUGGAGGGUAGAAUGCUUGAGCCGCAGGGUAACUUGCGGAGUAGAUAAAUGGCAGACGCUCCGCCUCGUUGGGGGUGGAGCACAGAACCCGGCUUACAGGGGCAGUGCUUUC
rnacentral:RNase_P_RNA from 1 species